UUAGCACAGUCGAUUAGCAAGUCAAGUAGCAGAGAAACUCCUAACUUGGCAUCAGUCCCACCUCGAUGGGUGUCCCCAAACCAAGGAACCAACCUCCUUUUUGAAGUGCAAUGAGCUCUACAGGACCAACUGAAGAAUAACUUUCAAAGGAGUCCCAAAGACCAGACAUUCAGAGAACAAAAACUAUUAUGGCCUUAGUUUGGAAGAAAAGAGCUCAGUAGUAGAAAAGGCAAGGCACAGCCUCGUUACAAGGCAGCUCCUCAGCUAUGAAGCACUGGCACACUCAGUUGGCAAAUGGGCAGGGUUUUCAAGUACCCCAAGAAAUAACUCCACGGGGCCUGAAAGAAGUUUUGACCACUCUGUUUGUAAGUGGACUCCAAUAAAGGAGAGAGAAUGAGCUGCUCUUCUCUCCCAUCUCCAGGAGCUGCUGCCAGCUGGCUCUGGUGGGUUGUCCAGCACUCACUGGGACUGGCUGAACCCCCUGCUCCAGGGCUGAGCUCAGCUCUCUUCCCAGAUCCUGCAUUAAAGAUUUGGAGAAUU